AAUACCGCAUAAUAUACGCAUAUUUANCGACGCGUAUCAAAGGAGAAAUCCGCUUUGAGAUGGGCCCGCGGCGCAUUAGCUAGUUGGAGAGGUAACGGCUCACCAAGGCGACGAUGCGUAGCCGACCUGAGAGGGUGAUCGGCCACAUUGGAACUGAGACACGGUCCAGACUCCUACGGGAGGCAGCAGUGGGGAAUAUUGCACAAUGGGGGAAACCCUGAUGCAGCAACGCCGCGUGAACGAAGAAGGCCUUCGGGUCGUAAAGUUCUUUGAUUGGGGACGAUAAUGACGGUACCCAAAAAACAAGCCACGGCUAACUACGUGCCAGCAGCCGCGGUAAUA
rnacentral:rRNA from 1 species